rnacentral:rRNA from 1 species
UCUGGCUCAGGAUGAACGCUGGCGGCGUGCCUAAUACAUGCAAGUCGAACGAAUCUCUUUUAGAGAUGAGUGGCGAACGGGUGAGUAAUACAUAGGUAACCUGCCUCUGUGCGGGGGAUAACAGGAGGGAACUCCUGCUAAUACCGCAUAGCCAUGAGCACCGCAUGGAGCUCAUGCCAAAUAUCCUUUCGGGGAUAGCGCAGGGAUGGACCUAUGGCGCAUUAGCUUGUUGGCGGGGCAACGGCCCACCAAGGCAACGAUGCGUAGCCGGCCUGAGAGGGCGGACGGCCACAUUGGGACUGAGACACGGCCCAGACUCCUACGGGAGGCAGCAGUAGGGAAUUUUCGGCAAUGGGGGGAAACCCUGACCGAGCAACGCCGCGUGAGCGAAGAAGGCCUUCGGGUCGUAAAGCUCUGUUGUAAAGGAAGAACGGCGCAUACAGGAAAUGGUAUGCGAGUGACGGUACUUUACCAGAAAGCCACGGCUAACUACGUGCCAGCAGCCGCGGUAAUACGUAGGUGGCGAGCGUUAUCCGGAAUCAUUGGGCGUAAAGAGGGAGCAGGCGGCCGCAAGGGUCUGUGGUGAAAGACCGAAGCUAAACUUCGGUAAGCCAUGGAAACCGGGCGGCUAGAGUGCGGAAGAGGAUCGUGGAAUUCCAUGUGUAGCGGUGAAAUGCGUAGAUAUAUGGAGGAACACCAGUGGCGAAGGCGACGGUCUGGGCCGCAACUGACGCUCAUUCCCGAAAGCGUGGGGAGCAAAUAGGAUUAGACACCCUAGUAGUCCACGCCGUAAACGAUGGUCACUAAGUGUCGGGGGUCAAACCCCGGUGCUGCAGUCAACGCAAUAAGUGACCCGCCUGAGUAGUACGUUCGCAAGAAUGCAACUCAAA